UAACGGCCUACCAAGGCGAUGAUGCAUAGCCCGAGUUGAGAGACUGAUCGGCCACAUUGGGACUGAGACACGGCCCAAAAACUCCUACGGGAGGCAGCAGUAGGGAAUCUUCCACAAUGGACGCAAGUCUGAUGGAGCAACGCCGCGUGAGUGAAGUAAGGGUUUCGGCUACGUAAAGCUCUGUUGUUGGUGAAGAAGGACAGGGGUAGUAACUGACCUUUGUUUGACGGUAAUCAAUUAGAAAGUCACGGCUAACUACGUGCCAGCAGCCGCGGUAAU
rnacentral:rRNA from 1 species